rnacentral:rRNA from 1 species
CCAGUUGAUCCUGCUGGAGAUCACUGCUUUUGGAGUUGGAUUAAACCAUGCAAGUCUGCUGACCGGGUGCGGUUGGCGGCGGACGGCUUAGUAACACGUAGACAACUUACCCUUAGGAGGGGAAUAACUCCGGGAAACUGGUGCUAAUUCCACAUAGGUAUUGGAUACUGGGAUGUUCCAAUACUCAAAUAGGCUUAGACUUUCUUUUAAGUUCUGCCUAAGGAUGGGUCUGCGUCUGAUCAGGUAGUUGGCGAGGUAAUGGCUCACCAAACCUAAAACCAGUAGGGGUCUUGAGAGAGAGGGCCCCAAGAAGGACACUGAGACAAGGGUCCUAGCCCUACGGGGUGCAGCAGGUGCGAAACUUCUGCAAUGACCGCAAGGUUGACAGAGCAACUCCAAGUGCUAAUGCUAGCAUUGGCUUUUGCCAAAUGUAAACAGUUUGGCGAAUAAGGGGUGGGCAAGACCGGUGGCAGCAGCCGCGGUAAUACCGGCGCCCCGAGUGGUGGUCAUUAUUAUUGGGUCUAAAGCGUCCGUAGCUGGUUUGGUUAGUCUUUGGUGAAAUCCAUGCGCUUAACGUAUGGGCGUGCCAGAGAUACUACCAAGCUAGAGACCGGGAGAAGAUAGGGGUAUUCUUAGGGUAAGGGUAAAAUCUUGUAAUCCUAAGAGGACCACCGGUGGCGAAGGCGCCUAUCUAGAACGGGUCUGACAGUGAGGGACGAAAGCUGAGGGAGCGAACGGGAUUAGAUACCCCGGUAGUCUCAGCCGUAAACGCUGCCUGUUAGGUGUUGCGCAUUGUUCGACAAUGUGCAGUGCCGAAGCGAAGGCAUUAAACAGGCCACCUGGGGAGUACGGUCGCAAGGCUGAAACUUAAGGGAAUAGGCGGGGGAGCACAACAAGGGGUGAAGCUUGCGGUUCAAUUGGAUUCGACGCCGGGAAUCUCACCAGGGCCGACAGCAUAAUGAAGGUCAGUCUAAAGGGCUUACCUGAAGCGCUGAGAGGUGGUGCAUGGCCGCCGUCAGCUCGUACCGUGAGGCGUCCUGUUAAGUCAGGCAACGAGCGAGACCCUCGCUACUAGUUGCUAUUACCUGUUUUCGAAUUGGUAAGCACACUAGUGGGACUGCCUUUGUAAAAAGGAGGAAGGUGAGGACGACGUCAGGUCAGUAUGCCCCGAAUGCCCUGGGCUACACGCGAGCUGCAAUGCCAUAGGCAAUGAGCUGCGACACCGAAAGGUGAAGCCAAUCUCCUAAACUAUGGCUCAGUUCGGAUCGAGGAUUGGGACUCAUCCUCGUGAAGACGGAAUCCCUAGUAACCGCGUUUCAACAGGGCGCGGUGAAUACGUCCCUGCUCCUUGCACUCACCGCCCGUCAUACCAUUCGAGUUGGGUUGAGAUGAAACUUUCUUUGGCUUCGGUUAGUGAAACUUGAAUCUUAAUUCAGCGAGAGGGGUAAAGUCGACACAAGGUA